CGAUCCUGGCUCAGAUUGAACGCUGGCGGCGUGCUUAACACAUGCAAGUCGCGCGUGGAAGGACUUCGGUCCGAGUAAAGCGGCGCACGGGUGAGUAACGCGUGGAUGAUCUACCCAUGAGUUAGGAAUAACGGCUGGAAACGGUCGCUAAUACCAAAUACGCUCCGAUUUCAACUUCGGGGGAAAGGUGGCCUCUGCUUGCAAGCUACUGCUCAUGGAUGAGUCCGCGUCCCAUUAGCUAGUUGGUGGGGUAACGGCCCACCAAGGCGACGAUGGGUAGCCGGUCUGAGAGGAUGACCGGCCACACUGGGACUGGAACACGGCCCAGACUCCUACGGGAGGCAGCAGUGGGGAAUAUUGCGCAAUGGGCGAAAGCCUGACGCAGCGACGCCGCGUGAGGGAUGAAGGUCCUCGGAUCGUAAACCUCUGUCAGGAGGGAAGAACCGCCACGGUGCUAAUCAGCCGUGGUCUGACGGUACCUCCAAAGGAAGCACCGGCUAACUCCGUGCCAGCCGCAGC
rnacentral:rRNA from 1 species